rnacentral:rRNA from 1 species
GAUGAACGCUGGCGGCGUGCUUAACACAUGCCAGUCGAACGAUGAAGCCCAGCUUGCUGGGUGGAUUAGUUGCGAACGGGUGGGUAACACGUGAGUAACCUGCCCUUAACUCUGGGAUAAGCCUUGGCAACUGGGUCUAAUACCGGAUAGGAGCGUCCACCGCAUGGUGGGUGUUGGAGAGAUUUAUCGGUUUUGGCUGGACUCGCGGCCUAUCAGCUUGUUGUUGAUGUAAUGGCUCACGAAGGCGACGACGGGUAGCCGGCCUUGGAAGGUGAACAGGCACAAUAGGACUGCGGGAGGGCGCAGUAGCCUACGGGAGGCAACAGUGGGGAAUAUUGCACAGUGGGCGCAAGCCUGAUGCAGCGGCGCCGCGUGAGGGAUGACGGCCUUCGGGUUGUAAACAUCUUUCAGUAGAGAAGAAGCGAAAGUGACGGUACCUGAAGAAGAAGCACCGGCUAACUACGUG